rnacentral:lncRNA from 1 species
CAAAACAUAUUAAAACCAUCAAGAAAAAUUAAGCGGCCUUAUUACAUUUAAAAACCCAAAACAUUAAGUGUAAAUAAAAGGAUGUCCAGUUCACCAGAAGAAAAAUCGAAUUUACAGAACGUGUGGCCACUCCGAAUCCCUCACAGCUCCAUGCCCACUAUGGUUGGGGAGUACCUGCGUGGAUGAAAAUAAAGGGGUGAGUUUGGGGAAACUCAGU